rnacentral:lncRNA from 1 species
UGAAAAAAGGAAUCUUAAUUUCUCUAAAAUUAAAUGACUCAAAACCCCUCCAGGGUGUGGUUGUAUGAACAACCUCUCACCUCAUCUCCGAGCUGUUUACACGUGUCCUGCAGGAACAGAAGGGGCAGCAUGAGGUAGGAGUGAGGAGGAGUGGGAGCAGGAUGAAGAACCUCUCACCCCGACAUCGGCACAGCUGCCUGUGGCCAUGGUGCUGCAUGUGCAGAGUGCUCUCCUGGUGCAGUGCCUGAGGUUGUCCCCAAUCUGCCACAGCCUUGCUGCAGGCUGUGCUGAGUGGAUGCAGCGGUCCGACCAGGUUUUUAGGCUGCAGGCUGAACUAGUAACUAGGUUGUAGUAAAUGAUGGAUAACUUGUUGGGGAAUGAUUUUACCCUUCUCACAGAGCAUCAGGAAAGGCUGAAUGAAGUUGGAUACCCCUAUGGAGAAGUCAGGCUGACGCUAGCUAUAGGGUGUUUUAGAAUUGUAGCAUAUUUAUUUCACCAGAUACAAAUAUUUUCAUCUUCAUUUAUAUUGGUAUCUUUCUUCUUUGAAGGGGAGAAAUGAAAAAGAAAAAAAGCUGAAGUUAGCCUGAGAGCUUUUUAUUUGAAAGGCAGUGGCCAUCCGUGCCAAACAGAAGCUCUGGGCUGAGUGCUGCUCUUGAAAUCUAAAAUUAUGGACAUUUAGAGCUGUCUUCAAAAUAUUUAUGCUACAAGACCCUGCCUUUAUUAGGACAUGAUGCAAUACUAGAAAGAGGACUUCAUGAGGCAAUGAAUAUAAUCUUCUGUGUGCAUUGUGGUUUAUUGUUUCUUCCUCUCUUUGUUAUAAAGCAGAGUAACGCUCAGAGCGUUGAAGGACGCAUGCACAAUGAACAGCUUGGUGGUUCUCAGACACCUCAGCACUGCUUUGAUUCAGAGCAGCAGCCCAGCAGUGCCACAGAGCCCAGCAUCUCCCCUGGCUUCCUGGGAGCCGGAGCCUGACCCAUCACUUGCCCCCUGCAGUAGUUCAGCUGCUUUUUCACAGGCUGAGUGCUGAGGAACAUGCUGUGGGAAGGUAAUUCAGCACUUCCCUCAUACCUCCCUUCUCCAGGGCCUGCUCGGGGUUGAAGGUACAUCUGUAGGUGCUGGAUGUACAUCUUGUACCUACCCGGCCCAACAGACUGCAGUAUAACCCCCAGCUGUCUGAUCUUUUCACAGUCAAAUCUGGAACACAGGUGAUGUUUUCUGUGCAAUUACAGGGAUCUGACCAAACAAGACAGAACUAUAGCCCAGAGAGGCUUCUUUAGGUGUCUCUGUUUUAAAGCAGAAGUGAACAACUACUGUCAUUCUGUCCCUAUACAGAUCCCAGAGCAGUAUACUAAAGCUCUGCAUCACAUGUUCCUCCCUGCUGUGCUCUGAGUGCACAGGAGCAGGAUGCAGUGUAUUUUCUUUAACCUGCAUGGUCAUUUUACCCUGCUGGGCAGCUAAACUCUGCUACAAGCACUCCUUACUCCCCCUCCUCUAAAGAAGAGGAGUAUGAUGGAAGGAAAAAGACUCGCUGGUUAAGAUAAGGAUAAUUUAAUUAAAGGGAGAAAAAAAAAAAAAGAAGGGGGGGGAAAAAAAGGCUGCAGAGAAGCAAAGAAAAAAAAAAAUUCUGUACUUCCCAUCAAUGAGAGUCAUUCAGCCAUGUCUGGGGGAGCAGGGCCUCUACACAAGCAGUUGUUUGGGAGGACAGAUGUCUUCGUAACAAGAGCCCUCCCUCUCCCUCCUAUUUCUCACCUUUUGUUGCUGAGCGUGACACCGUAUGGCAUGGAGCAUCCAGGCACCAGAACAAGCUGUGAAGGGGAGAGGGACCGGGGGUCCUGGUGGACAGCAGGAUGACUGAGCCAGCACUGUGCCCUUGUGGCCAAGAAGGCCGAUGGCAUCCUGGGGU